UCGGGAAUUUUGGGCAAUGGGCGAAAGCCUGACCCAGCAACGCCGCGUGAGGGAUGAAGUAUUUCGGUAUGUAAACCUCGAAAGAAUGGGAAGAAUAAAUGACGGUACCAUUUAUAAGCUCCGGCUAACUACGUGCCAGCAGCCGCGGUAAUACGUAGGGAGCAAGCGUUGUUCGGAUUUACUGGGCGUAAAGGGCGCGUAGGCGGCGCGGUAAGUCACUUGUGAAAUCUCUGAGCUUAACUCAGAACGGCCAAGUGAUACUGCUUUGCUAGAGUGCGGAAGAGGCAACCGGAAUUCUUGGUGUAGCGUGAAAUGCGUAGAUAUCAAGAGGAACACCUGAGGCGAAGGCGGGUUGCUGGGCCGACACUGACGCUGAUGCGCGAAAGCCAGGGGAGCAAACG
rnacentral:rRNA from 1 species